UCAGAUUAUUAACAGAUUAUUAGGCUGCAUGUAAACAUGGCUAACAGUCUCACAGUAAUUAUGAUCUUAUUCUACUUUUAUGCUGAAUUCAGAGCCAUUAAUGUUGUGUUAAUAAUUGUUCAUGUUCACUGUUUACUGGCUAUUCCUGGUAUAACACAAACUGGUUCAUUCCAGUAUUAAUAUAUGAUCAUUUUAAGAGUUAUUGGAAUAAAACCUGAACACUGUCUGAAUUUUAUAUUAUAUAUUUUUGUUACAGAGCUUUUGAUACAGAGAGUCUUUAUGAACCAUAGAUGUUUUGUGUGCAUUUUGUGUCCAUUAAUCUAAUGUUCGGAAUUAAUAAUAUGGCAGUAUAAUAAUUCUAUAGAAAAAUGUCAUGUAAACAGAGCAGUUUAAUAUUUUGUAUAGCCCCUUUUCUCUUUAGGACACCUGGCAAUAUUUUUGGGACAGUUCUGAAGUUCGGAGCCCUGUAUGGCUAUAUUUACAUCCCAGUGUUUUAAAUAUCCAGAAAUGUAAAAAAUGAACAGAAUUGCCCUGAAGUCCACUCAAUAUAUUUAAUAUAACUUUAUACAAUAUAUAUAACUUUAUAUAACAGUGCUGGUAGUAUAAGCCAGGUGAGAGUCUUCCAGCUUUCUUUCUUUAACAACAAGAAUGUGUUUUCAAGGUCAAUUUGAAGACAAUUGUUUCUUUCGUUGUUCUAACUUAUUUGGUGGCUAGUUUGGGUUUGAUCUUUAUAUGAUAAGGCUGCUGGUUUUGUAAUUGAUAUCAUUUGGCAUUUUUCCAGGCUUAAAUUCCUGGAGUUCAAUGAGGUUCAUAUUGCAUUCCAAAUAACAAAAUGGAAAAGUGAAAUUUCUUUUCCUUUUAAAUUAGACAAGUUCUGGACUCCAGGAACUUCGGAAUCUAGCCAAGGGUCCAGUUUGCCCCUGGAUGUGAACAUGCCGUACUCAUGUUCUACCUCGUGGCCAUGUUGAAAAGAUCUCGUGUACUGCAUCUCCCCUCAAUGUACAGUAACCAACGCGCCUCAGAACAAGAUGCAGCUGUUUGUCAUACUACUACUGGCUGUGCAGUGGACGGCCACCACGUUAGCGCGUAUUGGACCUUCACCAAAGUGUUGCCUAAAGCCAUCAGACAAGAACAUUGAAGUCACAAAACUAGAGAUGUUUGUGGUUCAGGAUCCAGCACUGUGUUCUGUCAAAGCAGUGAGG